UACGUAGGGUGCAAGCGUUGUCCGGAAUUACUGGGCGUAAAGGGCGCGUAGGCGGAUAGUUUAGUUGGGGGUGAAAGCCCGGGGCUCAACCUCGGAAUUGCCUUCAAUACUGGCUAUCUUGAGUGUGAGAGAGGUGUGUGGAACUCCGAGUGUAGAGGUGAAAUUCGUAGAUAUUCGGAAGAACACCAGUGGCGAAGGCGACACACUGGCUCACUACUGAAGCUGGAGGCGCGAAAAGCGUGGGGGAGCAAAACAGG
rnacentral:rRNA from 1 species